AUUUAUUAGGCAUACGACCCAUUCCGCUGUAAAGCGGAAUGAAAAAACUAGCUCAUAACGGUGAAACCCUAAUUCUUUGAUGAUAUAAUUAAAGAAUGGGCAAUACCGUGGGAAGUCCCGCUACGAAGCGGGACCCCGUAGAGACUUAACUCUCGCUAGGGAAAAGAGAGUUUAAUUCCGAUUUUAUCGGAAUUACACGCUAGGCCCACUUAAUAAUAAGUGGGAAAUGGUAUAGUCCAUACUUCGAGUAAUCGGAGAUAAAUAUGGUCGUCAGCUCGUACUUUGAAGCGUACGCUUAAGUGCGACAACGAGCGCAACCCUUAUUCCGCGUUUUAAUUGUCGCGGAAAACUGCCUGGGAUAACCAGGAGGAAGGUGAGGAUGACGCCAAAUCAGCACGGCCCUUUGAUACCCUGGGCCGCACACAUGGUACAAUGGAGCCGACAAUGGGUCGCGAAGCCGCAAGGCGGAGCUAAUCCCAUCAAACGGCCCCUCAAUUCGGAUUGAGGUCUGAAACUCGACCUCAUGAAGCCGGAAUCGCUAGUAAUCGCGUAUCAGCUACGGCGCGAUGAAUAUGUUCCUAAAUCUUGUACUCACAAUAAACGCGCCCGGCAGAUAUACAAACUAAAGAGUUAAAAUCUCUUCUUC
rnacentral:ncRNA from 1 species